GAUGAACGCUGACAGAAUGCUUAACACAUGCAAGUCGAUGGGGAAGUGGUGCUUGCACCAUGGUAACCAUGGCGGACGGGUGAGUAACACGUAAGGAACUUACCUGCGGGACCGGGAUAACAGCAGGAAACUGCUGACAAGACCGGAUAAGGUCAUUAAGCUGCAUAGCUUAGUGAUGAAAGGAGACGCCUGCGGAGAGCCUUGCGUCCUAUUAGCUAGUUGGAGGGGUAACGGCCCACCAAGGCGAAGAUAGGUAGCCGGCCUGAGAGGGUGGACGGCCACAAGGGGACUGAGAUACGGCCCUUACUCCUACGGGAGGCAGCAGUGGGGAAUAUUGGACAAUGGGGGCAACCCUGAUCCAGCAAUUCUGUGUGCACGAAGACGGUUUUCGGAUUGUAAAGUGCUUUCAGCAGGGAAGAAGGAAGUGACGGUACCUGCAGAAGAAGCGACGGCUCCCUACGUG
rnacentral:rRNA from 1 species